UUUCAAAACAUUUCAAAAUCGCCCGCCUCCUCUCUCUCUCUCUCUCUCUCUCUCUGGCGAUUAGAUCUGGAUCUAGGGUUCUUCUACAUCAUAGGUUUCAUUUGAUUUUCGUAGUGAAUAUUGUUAUCAUGCUCAUUUCAUUGAAGGACUUCCGAUCUGAUCUUUGUUACGGGCCUACAAUCGAAUGGACAAGAGGCGGAGAGGCGUCGAUUUUCUCAUAAUCGAGAGAAGGAUGAAGGGCAGCGAUGAACUUGAUUCCGAUAGGAGUUUCAAGGUGUACAGGUUGGUGGAAGUAAUUCAAUAGGUCAGAGUGGUGGUCUUUGCGUGGGGUGGGGGCUGUGUCUUGGGUUUGGGACUGGUUGUGUCUUGGUGUGGGUAUGUUUUGGUGUCUAGCUGGUUCACCGCUUGGUGAGGUUCCGAUCAAAUUCCGGGGAUAUUGCUAAAGAGGACCAACAAUUAGAAGUAGAUUGUGACAUGGUGAAGAUAUGAUGGUCGUUUGCUCCAUGUCUACCAACUGUUUGUGGAAAGUCAUUAGAGAAACUCUGCUUAUACACAUCAAACUUUUAAAGGGGUUCAAGAUUUUUGUUGCUUUUUGUGAAAGUAUGGUGGGAUGGAAGUGAACCAUACAAUAGAAGUAGAGUUGGGGGUUUAGGUUUCGGUAGUAACAGAAGGCAUUGGGAGAAACAGGGAUCGUUUGACAACAGAGGGCGUUGAAGCGAGCGUAGGGCUCAAUCAUCAAGACAAUGAAGAUGAACAAAAAGAAGUGACUGAUAAUGGCUAGCUGCGUUCGACGGCAUAAAAAAUGGUGGUAGUUGAGCAGGAGGAUGAGCUUGGUUAGUCGACGACGCUGGUGGUGUGUUGAGAACCUAACCGCCGCCUCUGACGAUGGCGGGUAGGGUUUCAUCACAAAUCCGACGUUUCAUUCCAGGUUAGAUGAAGCAAGAUAGUCGCUUUCAAGCAAAGUACCACAUGCAUCCAGCAAGAUCAAUCCUUAUCGGAUGGUGAUGGUGGCUCGGCUCUUUAUACUCGCAAUAUUUUGUUUGAUAUGGACUAUUGGAUCCUGUGCAUGAUGCAGUCAGGUUAUGGUUGUAUCUGUUCUCUUUGAGAUAGUUUCGUACUGUUUUAAACCUCAUUAGCAUGCUUAAGGCUGAAAAACUGGCUAUAUGAAGCGGGUUCUGGUGACGGGUUUGGGUAAAUGCGGGAUAUAAGCAAAAUGACUUUGGGUCAAAACUUUCCGCUUUAAAAACUAUGAAUUUGGCUCGGCAUCAAAUGGUUCUGGACAAAAAUAAAGUUGGUUAAAAUAAGUCGUUUUAGAAAAAAUAAAGCAAUGAGUCAAAAGGUCCCAAAAGGCCAAAAUGGACCCGAAUUGAUACUUUUAAAUCAAACGUUCAAUUUUUUGUCAUUGAAGGAGCCUCUUUGUAACUUACCUGCUUAUUUAAGCAAAUAAUUUUGGAACUCUUUGUUCUCUCGGGUGCUGUUUAGAAAUAAUCUUUUUCACAGUGAAUAAAAAUAGGAUUCUAUAUUGCUCUUGAUUGUCAUGUCUGCUUGAGUGAUGUGAGAGUAUAUUUUAGUGUCUAAAAUGUCUUUUUAUGCUGCUGCCAUUGUUUGUCCUAACCAUUUGAUUAUCUAUUUAGUGGACUGAAUGACCUAACCAAUAUUGGUGUGUGUGUUUUGUAAGGAUAGUUCACUGAAAUCAAAUUAUUAUUUUUAAUAAUCUAAUUUUAAAUGAUCUUGUAUGGAACGGUUUAUAGUUGGGUAACAUGUUGGCUUUGCGCCAUCUGUUGGCCAAAAUGGGUUAUGUUAACCUUCAAGGGGACAAGGGGUGGUGCAGUAUUAACCACGUGACAAUAGUGAUGAUUUCGACUGAUCAGCUAACAUUUCGGUCAGCAAACGGUGAUUGGUCGUAUUCCAUAUUAUUAAGUGCUCUAAUUAUUGACAAGACGAAGAAGAAAAUGUUCAGCAGCUUCCUUGAGUUCAAGUGGCACUAGCAAAAGAGAGGAUAAAGUGGCUGGAGGCAAAAGAAAAAAAUUCAUGGUGGCAGACUUGGUCAUUCCAGAGAGUGUGGUUUACAGAUACGGAACUGUGCUGCUAGAUCUUUAGCGAGAAACAUAUCCCUCCAAGCCAUGUAUGUAAAUGUAACAUGCAUUCUAUAUUUUCUUAGUGGUGGCUUUUGUAUAUUUUUCUAAUGGCGACGUUUGUAUAUUUUUCUAAUGGGACUUUUGGUUGUUCAUAGUACUUUGUUUGAUGAAACUUUGUGUAUUGUUUGUUAGCUGCAACUAUAAGGGACUAGAGGUGCUGACCUGUUUA
rnacentral:lncRNA from 1 species